UAUGUGAUCGUCUCUCGCAUAUCAAUAAGCGGAGGAAAAGAAACUAACAAGGAUUCCCUUAGUAACGGCGAGUGAAGCGGGAAGAGCUCAGAUUUGAAAUCUUCAAGGUUUUACCUUGACGAAUUGUAGUUUAAAGAAGUGUUUUCUGUUGAAGUUUUGGUAAAAGUUCUUUGGAAUAGGACGUCAUAGAGGGUGAGAAUCCCGUAUUUGACCAUUAUUUUCAGCUGUGUGAUACACUUUCAAAGAGUCGGAUUGUUUGGGAAUGCAGUCCAAAAUGGGUGGUAAAUUUCAUCUAAAGCUAAAUAUUGGCGAGAGACCGAUAGCGAACAAGUACCGUGAGGGAAAGAUGAAAAGAACUUUGAAAAGAGAGUUAAACAGUACGUGAAAUUGUCAAAAGGGAAGCGUUUGACACCAGUGUUGUUUUCUCGAAAAUCAAUUAAAAAGAGUUUGAUUUUGUUGUGUAUUGACCUUAACAGCUUGCAUUUCAAUUUUCUUGCUUUUUUUAAUGCACUUUUCGUUUAACAAGUCAACAUCAGUUUCUUUUGUUGUAAAAAGGUCAUUGGAAGGUGGCUUUCUUUUCGGAGAAAGUGUUUAUAGCCUUUGACUCCUGCAAUCGGAGAGACUGAGGUCUGCAGCGUAGAUCCUUCGGGGUUAGAUACAUUUGUGCUAAGUUAUAGCUUUUUAUAGACAACUUGUUGACUAUGAUUAGUCUUGUAGCUUACUCGCUUAUGCUAUUUUACCUACGCUUAGGAUGUUGAAGAUGUAGCACAUCAU
rnacentral:rRNA from 1 species